rnacentral:rRNA from 1 species
UACGGAAGGCAGCAGUGGGGAAUAUUGCACAAUGGGCGCAAGCCUGAUGCAGCCAUGCCGCGUGUAUGAAGAAGGCCUUCGGGUUGUAAAGUACUUUCAGUCGUGAGGAAGGUGUUAAGGUUAAUAACCUUAGCAAUUGACGUUAGCGACAGAAGAAGCACCGGCUAACUCCGUGCCAGCAGCCGCGGUAAUACGGAGGGUGCGAGCGUUAAUCGGAAUUACUGGGCGUAAAGGGCACACAGGCGGUUAAUUAAGUUGGAUGUGAAAUCCCCGGGCUUAACCUGGGAAUGGCAUUCAAGACUGGUUAGCUAGAGUCUUGUAGAGGGGGUAGAAUUCCAUGUGUAGCGGUGAAAUGCGUAGAGAUGUGGAGGAAUACCGGUGGCGAAGGCGGCCCCUGGACAAAGACUGACGCUCAUGUGCGAAAGCGUGGGGAGCAAACAGGGAUUAGAUACC